rnacentral:rRNA from 1 species
GUGGGGAAUAUUGGACAAUGGGCGAAAGCCUGAUCCAGCCAUGCCGCGUGUGUGAAGAAGGUCUUCGGAUUGUAAAGCACUUUAAGUUGGGAGGAAGGGCAUUAACCUAAUACGUUAGUGUUUUGACGUUACCGACAGAAUAAGCACCGGCUAACUUCGUGCCAGCAGCCGCGGUAAUACGAAGGGUGCAAGCGUUAAUCGGAAUUACUGGGCGUAAAGCGCGCGUAGGUGGUUUUGUAAGUUGGAGGUGAAAUCCCCGGGCUCAACCUGGGAACUGCCUCCAAAACUGCAUGACUAGAGUACGGUAGAGGGUAGUGGAAUUUCCUGUGUAGCGGUGAAAUGCGUAGAUAUAGGAAGGAACACCAGUGGCGAAGGCGACUACCUGGACUGAUACUGACACUGAGGUGCGAAAGCGUGGGGAGCAAACAGGAUUAGAUACCCGAGUAGUCC